GACGAACGCUGGCGGCGUGCUUAACACAUGCAAGUCGAACGGAAAGGCCCCUUCGGGGGUACUCGAGUGGCGCACGGGUGAGUAACACGUGAGUAACCUGCCCUUGACUUCGGGAUAACUUCAGGAAACUGGGGCUAAUACCGGAUAGGAAUCCUUGCUGCAUGGUGGGGGUUGGAAAGCUUCGGCGGUUUUGGAUGGACUCGCGGCUUAUCAGCUUGUUGGUGGGGUAGUGGCUUACCAAGGCUUUGACGGGUAGCCGGCCUGAGAGGGCGACCGGCCACAUUGGGACUGAGAUACGGCCCAGACUCCUACGGGAGGCAGCAGUGGGGAAUAUUGCACAAGGGGCGGAAGCCUGAUGCAGCAACGCCGCGUGCGGGAGGACGGCCUUCGGGUUGGAAACCGCUUUCAGCAGGGGCGAAGCUUGUGGUGACGGUACCUGCAGAAGAAGCACCGGCUAACUACGUG
rnacentral:rRNA from 1 species